CAGUAACGGCGAGUGAAGCGGCAACAGCUCAAAUUUGAAAUCUGGCUCCUUCGGGGUCCGAAUUGUAAUUUGUAGAGAGUGCUUCGGGCGAGACCUCGGUCUAAGUCCAUUGGAACAUGGUGUCAUAGAGGGUGAGAAUCCCGUAUGCGACCGUGGCUCGAGCCCAUGUGAAGCCUCUUCGACGAGUCGAGUUGUUUGGGAAUGCAGCUCAAAAUGGGUGGUAAAUUUCAUCUAAAGCUAAAUACUGGCUGGAGACCGAUAGCGCACAAGUAGAGUGAUCGAAAGAUGAAAAGCACUUUGGAAAGAGAGUCAAACAGUACGUGAAAUUGUUGAAAGGGAAGCGCUUGCAACCAGACCUGCCCGUAGGCGAUCAGCCGCUGUUCUCAGCGGUGUACUCGCUCUGCGAUCAGGCCAGCAUCGGUUUCGGCGGUCGGAUAAAGACCUUGGGAAUGUAGCUUCCCUUCGGGGAAGUCUUAUAGCCCUCGGUGUAAUGCGGCCAGCCGGGACCGAGGACCGCGCUUCGGCUAGGAUGCUGGCGUAAUGAUUGUAAGCGACCCGUCUUGAAACACGGACCAAGGAGUCUAACAUCUAUGCGAGUGUUUGGGUGUCAAACCCAUACGCGGAAUGAAAGUGAACGGAGGUGAGAACCCUUAAGGGCGCAUCAUCGACCGAUCCAGAUGUCUUCGGAUGGAUUUGAGUAUGAGCAUAGCUGUUGGGACCCGAAAGAUGGUGAACUAUGCCUGAAUAGGGUGAAGCCAGAGGAAACUCUGGUGGAGGCUCGCAGCGGUUCUGACGUGCAAAUCGAUCGUCAAAUUUGGGUAUAGGGGCGAAAGACUAAUC
rnacentral:rRNA from 1 species